rnacentral:tRNA from 1 species
GGCGGCAUAGCCAAGUGGUAAGGCAGAGGUCUGCAAAAUCUUUACCCCCGGUUCGAAUCCGGGUGCCGCCUUCA